GACGAACGCUGGCGGCGUGCUUAACACAUGCAAGUCGAACGAUGAAGCCCAGCUUGCUGGGUGGAAGAGUGGCGAACGGGUGAGUAACACGUGAGUAACCUGCCCUGAACUCUGGGAUAAGCACUGGAAACGGUGUCUAAUACUGGAUACGACCUAUCACCGCAUGGUGUGUGGGUGGAAAGAUUUAUCGGUUCUGGAUGGACUCGCGGCCUAUCAGCUAGAUGGUGAGGUAAUGGCUCACCAUGGCGACGACGGGUAGCCGGCCGGAGAGGGUGACCGGCCACAGGGGGACGGAGACACGGCCCAGACUCCGACGGGGGGCAGCAGGGGGAAAUGUUGCACAAGGGGCGCAAGCAGGAGGCGGAAACGCGGGGUGAGGGAGACCGGCUUGCGGUUUGAAAACCUCUUUUAGAGGGAAAGAAGCAAAAGUGAGGUUACCUGAAGAAAAAGCCCCGGCAAACUACGUG
rnacentral:rRNA from 1 species